AAUAUGCAUUAACCAGUUUAUACCUGUUUGUGAGAAAUUCUGAAAACUUUACAAAACAAUUAUGGAAUUUAUAUACCGCGAGACGUAUUCAAGUUUUCUCUUACUAUUGUCCGAGUAUUUGUCUAUUUAGUGUUAAAGAACCCAGGAAUUGGAAUUGAUAUAGACCUCUAAACACACCGAGAUUUGUAUUAGCGCUUGGAUUUAUACCGCUAUACCGGUAACCAUAAUUCAUUGAGUUGUGCCUUACUAUUGUCCGAGUGUUUGUUUAUUUAGUGUAAAAAAAAUAUUGGAAUUUAUAGAGGGUCUAAACACACCGAGAUUUGUAUUAGUGCUUGGAUCUACACCAAUAUACCGGCAUGGAAUAAAAAAAUAUAUAAAACACGAGUUAACGAGAGUAAUCAUUUUAGUUAGAAGGGAAAAUUGUCUGGUGUUUAUACUGUUAACAAUAAUCAUUGAAUAUUGAAAGUUUGGACAUCGUUAGAGAGAUUGCCGUUUAAUUGAGAUGUUGCCAGGCGUAUAAACAUGGAAUAUUGACAGUUUAACCGUGUAAUAUAGGGAAUAUUGCCCAGUGUAUAAACAUUAGAUAUUGACAGUUUCAUCGUGUAAUAUAGUGAAUAUUGCCCGGUGUAUAAAUAUUAGAUAUUGACAGUUUAACCGUUUAAUAUAGUGAAUAUUACCCAGUGUAUAAACAUUAGAUAUUGACAGUCUAACCGUGUAAUAUAGCGAAUAUUACCCAGCGUGUAAACAUUAGAUAUUGACAGUUUAAACGUGUAAUAUAGCGAAUAUUACCCAGUGUGUAAACAUUAGAUAUUGACAGUUUAAACGUGUAAUAUAGCGAAUAUUACCCAGUGUGUAAACAUUAGAUAUUGACAGUUUAAAAAGUGAUAGACAAUAUUAUAUUAAGAUGUGGAGAAAUAUUCAGUUUAAACAGCGAUAGACAAUAUUAUAGCAAUAUGUGGAAUACUAUUCGGAUUAUAUGUUUGUAAGCGUUUAUACCAGAUUGGAUAGUUGACCGAAAUCGUGAACACAAGAUUGGAUAGUUGACCGAAAUCGUGAACACGAGAUUGGAUAGUUGACCGAAAUCGUGAACACGAGAUUGGAUAGUGACUGAAAUCGUGAACACGAUGUGUAAUAAUAUCAGAACGUAUAUUUGUUGAUAGAAAUAUUGAUUGUUUAAAUGAGAUGACAGCCAUGUUGAAGAAUCUAAUACUAGUGAUUAUUGUUGGUAUUCUACUUUUGGUUAAAACCGUCGUCCAUACUAAAAGAUUACCCAGAUCAACUGGACUAAUUGACCUUGUCUUUAAAAGACCAUCACCUGAGUGCAAGGAUCUAUAUUGUAGGGACCAGGUGGGAUGUUGUGUUUGUAUUUAUCCGUACGGCUGGGGUUUACACGGUUCAAGUACCGGUUGCUGUGGAAACUACAAUGGCUGCUGUAAACUAGCCUCGUGGGUCUGUUAUGUUCAUGACGUCAUGUGUGACUGUUGUGGUUCUAUAUUUUGUGGUCCCCAGUGUAAAAAAGACCCUGCUUGUGUCGACGAGAAAAUGUUAUCAGACGAUACCGAUGGCGGUAGUGGCGACGAAGAAUAACAGACUCAAACCAACCUUCAGCGAGAACAGUGCAAUCGGAAACAUUAAUAGCAUGAUCGGACGUGCGAUCUUCGUUUACACCGAUUUGAAAAUGUGAAUUUGUUACUGAUCGUCCGAGUGAAUCAAGUUGAUCCUUUUUAAAGAUACAUUAUGUAAGAUUUAGAUAAAGAGCUGACAUCAAUGAUAGUUUAAAAAGAGAUAACAUCCAUUUAAAUCACGGCCAUCCAACGAUGGCUUGUUUUGUUAGUUACUGUCUAAAUAAUAAUUUAUAUAACAAUUGAAGCUAAAUGAAAGACCUGCAAUGGGUAGAUUUAGCUCUUACAUAAUUCAUCUUUAACGGAAUUACGUAAUUCGAAAAAGUGACUUGAUGAACACGACUUUUCCUGACUUUAAGCAAGUGCUAUCAAGACAUAGCAUAGCAAGAAUAGAAAACACAAGUUACCAACAACCUACAGCUACUUUAAUUGGAUUCACACUAACAAAAUAUAUCGGGGACAGCUACUUUUAAAUAGUUAUAUUUU